rnacentral:rRNA from 1 species
AGGUCCUACGGGGCGCAGCAGUGGGGGAUAUUGCACAAUGGGGGGAACCCUGAUGCAGCGACGCCGCGUGGGUGAAGGAGUGCCUCGGCAUGUAAAGCCCUAUCGGCAGGGAAGAAGCAAGACGGUACCUGACUAAGAAGCCCCGGCUAACUACGUGCCAGCAGCCGCGGUAAUACGUAGGGGGCGAGCGUUAUCCGGAUUCACUGGGUGUAAAGGGAGCGUAGAAGGCCAAGCAAGCCAGGGGUGAAAGCCCGGGGCCCCACCCCGGGACUGCCCUUGGAACCGC